AUGCCCCACUCCCAAAUCCCUGCCCCAUUCCCAAAUCCCUGCCUCAUUCCUAAAUCCAUACUCCAUGCUCUGCCCCUGUGCCGUGCCCGGUGCCCCAUGCCCAGUGCAGUGCCCCGUGUCCGGUGCUGUGCCCAGUGUCCAAUGCCCAGUGCAGGGCCGGUGCUGUGCCCUGUUCCUGGUUCAAUUCCAGUACAAUCCCAGUUCAAUCCUGGUUCAAUUCCGGUGCAAUCCUGGUUCAAUACUGGUUCAGUUCUGGUACAAUCCCGGUGCUGUGCCCCAUUCCCGGGACAAUCCCGGUACAACCCCUGUUCAAUCCCGGUUCAAUCCCGGUGCUGUGCCCCGUUCCCAGUUCAAUCCCAGCUCAAUUCCGGCUCAAUCCCGGUGCUGUGCCCCGUUCCCUGUUCAAUGCCGGUACAAUCCCCGUUCAAUCCUGGUUCAAUCCCGGUUCAAUGCCAGUGCUGUGCCCCGUUUCCGGUUCAAUCCCGGUUCAACCCCGGUUCUAUCCCGGUUCAAUCCCGGUGCCCGAUGCGGUGCCUGCUCCAUUCGCCACCAGGGGGCGCCACCGCGCCCUCCCCCGGGGCUCUCUCGGUUCCUUCCGGAGAGUCUCGCGCGAGGGGCGGGGCCCCGAUAGCGAUCGGGCCGGGGAGGGGCGGGGCCGGAGCCUUCGGUCAGCUCCGUCCUCUGUCGUCUGCUCUCGGUUAUUUCCGGGAUAGAUUCGGGCAGUUCCGUUCUCUCUCGUCGGCUGUCGGCUGUUUCCGGGGCGGGUUCGGGCCGUUCCGGCGGCGCUCGGGCCUGUCCAAGGCUCUGCCGGGCCGGAGGCAGCAGCGGGCUGGAGGCGAGCGGCGGCGGAUGGGGCCGGCGGAGAGGUGCGGCGGGGCCGGGAGCGGCGGGAUCGGGAUCAGGGGCAUCGGGAUCGGGGACAGCGGGCCCGGAUCGGAACCAGGCCAGGGUGGGCGUCGGGACCCCCUCAGCGUGAGGCGCCCCGGGGCUUGGCUCUGUCCCUGA
rnacentral:lncRNA from 1 species